rnacentral:rRNA from 1 species
ACUGAGACACGGCCCAGACUCCUACGGGAGGCAGCAGUGGGGAAUUUUCCGCAAUGGGCGCAAGCCUGACGGAGCAACGCCGCGUGUGGGAUGAAGGCCUGUGGGUUGUAAACCACUUUUCUCAGGGACGAACACAAUGACGGUACCUGAGGAAUCAGCCUCGGCUAACUCUGUGCCAGCAGCCGCGGUAAGACAGAGGAGGCAAGCGUUAUCCGGAAUUAUUGGGCGUAAAGCGUCCGUAGGUGGUCUAGCAAGUCUGGGGUUAAAGCCCGAAGCCCAACUCCGGAUCGGCCUUGGAAACUGCCAGACUCGAGUAAGGUAGGGGUUGCGGGAAUUCCCGGUGUAGCGGUGAAAUGCGUAGAUAUCGGGAAGAACACCAGCGGCGAAAGCGCGCAACUGGGCCAUUACUGACACUGAGGGACGAAAGCUAGGGGAGCGAAUGGGAUUAGAUACCCCAGUAGUCCUAGCCGUAAACGAUGGUGACUAGAUGUGGCUCGUAUUGACCCGAGCCGUGUCGUAGCUAACGCGAUAAGUCACCCGCCUGGGGAGUACGCACGCAAGUGUGAAACUCAAAGGAAUUGACGGGGGCCCGCACAAGCGGUGGAGCAUGUGGAUUAAUUCGAUGCAACGCGAAGAACCUUACCAGGGCUUGACAUCCUGCGAACCCCGCUGAAAGGUGGGGGUGCCUUCGGGAGCGCAGAGACAGGUGGUGCAUGGCUGUCGUCAGCUCGUGUCGUGAGAUGUUGGGUUAAGUCCCGCAACGAGCGCAACCCGCGUCCUUAGUUGCCAGCAUUUAGUUGGGCACUCUGGGGAGACUGCCGGUGACAAGCCGGAGGAAGGUGCGGAUGACGUCAAGUCAGCAUGCCCCUUAUGCCCUGGGCGUCACACGUGCUACAAUGGCCAGCACAAAGGGUAGC